rnacentral:misc_RNA from 1 species
UUUCCGUAGGUGAACCUGCGGAAGGAUCAUUAAAGUUAUAGUCCCCCGGCCCCUCCGGGCUGGGGUCUUCUAUACCACCCUUUGUUUAUUACACCUUUGUUGCUUUGGCAGGCCUGCCUUCGGGCUGCUGGCUCCGGCCGGCUCGUGCCUGCCAGAGGACCUAAACUCUGUUUGUAUAUGAAGUCUGAGUACUAUAUAAUAGUUAAAACUUUCAACAACGGAUCUCUUGGUUCUG